AACGAACGCUGGCGGCGCGCCUAAUACAUGCAAGUCGAGCGAGAAGACGUAGCAAUACGUUUGUAAAGCGGCGAACGGGUGAGGAAUACAUGGGUAACCUACCCUCGAGUGGGGAAUAACUAGCCGAAAGGUUAGCUAAUACCGCGUACGCUCCUUGGACUUCGGUUCAGGGAGGAAAGCGAUACCGUGGGUAUCGCGCUCUUGGAUGGGCCCAUGUCCUAUCAGCUUGUUGGUGAGGAACGGCUCACCAAGGCUUCGACGGGUAGCUGGUCUGAGAGGACGAUCAGCCACACUGGCACUGCGACACGGGCCAGACUCCUACGGGAGCAGCAGUAAGGAAUAUUGCGCAAUGGGCGAAAGCCUGACGCAGCGACGCCGCGUGA
rnacentral:rRNA from 1 species